rnacentral:tRNA from 1 species
ACGAUCGUAGCUCAGUUGGUUAGAGCACCACCUUGACAUGGUGGGGGUCGGUGGUUCGAGUCCACUCGGUCGUA